rnacentral:rRNA from 1 species
AGCAGCCGCCGCGGGAAUACGGAGGAUCAAAGCGUUAUCCGGAAUCAUUGGGUUUAAAGGGUCCGUAGGCGGUCUUGUAAGUCAGUGGUGAAAGCCCAUCGCUCAACGGUGGAACGGCCAUUGAUACUGCAGGACUUGAAUUAUUGGGAAGUAACUAGAAUAUGUAGUGUAGCGGUGAAAUGCUUAGAGAUUACAUGGAAUACCAAUUGCGAAGGCAGGUUACUACCAAUUGAUUGACGCUGAUGGACGAAAGCGUGGGUAGCGAACAGGAUUAGAUACCCGAGUAGUCCCUGUCUCUUAUAC